rnacentral:rRNA from 1 species
GGUGACCGGAUGCCGAUCUCGAAAACCUGUCCCAGUUCGGACUGGAGUCUGCAACCCGACUCCACGAAGUUGGAUUCGCUAGUAAUCGCGCAUCAGCCAUGGCGCGGUGAAUACGUUCCCGGGCCUUGUACACACCGCCCGUCAAGCCAUGGGAGCCGGGGGCGCCUGAAGUCCGGGACCGCGAGGACCGGCCUAGGGCGAAACUGGUGACUGGGGCUAAGUCGUAACAAGGUACC